rnacentral:lncRNA from 1 species
GCGUACAAAACCAAAUUCAGCAUUUUUUGUCCAUCGAUGCAAGACAUAACGUGAUGGAAGUUCCCUUAUAUCCAACAGGUUGAACACUUUCAAGACAUGUCUGCAUAGUACGCCUUCAAAUUCAAACAUCUGACAGCUGCAACUGACAUUGAGGUUGGAUGCACUGAAGGUAACAGCAUGUUUCUCAUUCUCAUUCCCACAUUUCCGCACAGAGAAUCUGCUGAUUGUCCCUUCUUCAUAAGUCUUUAUUCCAAGAUAAUUAUAAGACUGUACAAGUUCAUUCUGGAAUAUCUUGAACACACUAAGUGUAUAUAGCCUUCUACAUUGCUCUUCUACUGGUUCUUUUGUUUGCAGAAAUGCCUGAAGGUUAAACGAGUUAAAAUCCUCUUUUCUUUCAUCCUCGCGACGCCGUUGAAGUCCUUGCUCAUAUCGAGGGAUAAACUCCCUGAGGGGCGUCAGUGCAGUCAGAAAAGUACCAAAAAAUGAUUCAAUAGUUUCAUUCAGGGGGAUGCC